AUGCGGGCAGUGUCCCCCAGACAGCCAAGGGGCUCCCCUUCCUCGCAGACCCAGCCUUCACCCUCCCUGCGUCUGUCUUCCCCAGUGGUGGACUGGCCUGAGUCAGCAAUCCCGCCCUCCAUGCUCUCAGGCCAUGACAGUUUUCUCAUCCUGCUCAAUGCCUGGGCCCUCUGGGCACUCAAGAAACUCAGUGUCCAGAUGGCACGGGCCGGCGUGCACCCAACUCAAGGAACACCCCAGAGCAGAAGCUCGGGGGCCACCAGUGUCCCCGGAGCCUGGGCUUCAGGGAAGCUACUUCUCCUGGCAGUCGCCCCGCCUGCCUCCCCUGGCGGCUGGCCAGCCUCGGGCAGUGUGGCUCCCUCCCCCUGGAGGAGAGCCCAAGCUCAAGACACAGCAGCAGCAGCAGCCGCAGUGGCAGCAACAGACCUGGCAACCCGGUGCCUCCUGGCCCCUCAGCACCAGUGACUCACGCCAGCCUGGAGAGGGACAGAGCCCCGUGCAAUGACUCACCCAUGGCAGGCGGCAGGUCCCCUGGGGCCUGAGUCCUCCAGCCCGGCUGAGGCAGCAGCCGGCCUCUGGGGCCCGGAGAGUGAUGACAGGUAAACAGGGGACCCCGCCCCCCGCCGUCCUCCCCCCCUGU
rnacentral:lncRNA from 1 species